GCCAGCAUGGUGUAGUGGUUUGAGUGUUGGACUACAACUCUGGAGACCAGGGUUCAAUUCCUAGCUUGGCC